rnacentral:rRNA from 1 species
UACGUAGGGUGCGAGCGUUAAUCGGAAUUACUGGGCGUAAAGCGUGCGCAGGCGGUCUGUUAAGACCGAUGUGAAAUCCCCGGGCUUAACCUGGGAACUGCAUUGGUGACUGGCAGGCUUUGAGUGUGGCAGAGGGAGGUAGAAUUCCACGUGUAGCAGUGAAGUGCGUAGAGAUGUGGAGGAAUACCGAUGGCGAAGGCAGCCUCCUGGGCCAACACUGACGCUCAUGCACGAAAGCGUGGGGAGCAAACAGG